ensembl:lncRNA
AGGCGCAGUUUGCAAUGGGUGGAUCACCAUGAUUUGCGUAAGUGGAAAUUAGGCAAGUGGGAGAGGAUUUAACAUGGUAUGAGAGGGAGAGAGGACAGCAGCCUGAUGACGGUGGAGGGUUUUAGUGGAGGCAAGGGUGAAAAUGCUAAUGUUGCCUAAUGCUGUUGUUUCUAAUCUUGGUUUAUGUACAAUUCUCUGAGCUCCAUCUCAGACUUACUAAAUCAGAAUCUCUAGGAAUGAGGGCUGGGAACUUUUUUUUUUUUUUUUUUUUUAAGAUCAAUAAGAGAUUCGCAUGCUCAGUCAAUUCUGGCUGGCUGGCUCAAUUUCCAGGUCUCCAGUUACCAGGAAAUUAGUGUCAGCAAAUGCCACUGCCAGUAUAGAUACAGGCAAUAUGCUCUUCUAUUUGUCCAGCAGAAACCAGUAAGAAUACCCUUGUGUGUACUGCUUUCACUCCUUUAAGAUGUCUUUCAGAGACUUGACCUCGCAAUGUUGCAUUCCUGUCUCCUUAUGUGGUGGAAAGGAGGAAGAGGCUGGAGUCAGAAUGGAGAUGCCACACAGGUGUUUCAAAGACAUGAUAAAGAGAAUAGAGAUGGUUGCAAGCCAAAGUAAAUGAAACUGACCCACAUUAACAGUUUCAUUGAGAUAUAAUUGACAUACAAACAAGUAUAUAUAAGUAAAUUGUAGGUCCUUCUGGUUGUGCUAUAUGGGAUGCCACCUCAGCAUGGUUUGAUGAGCAGUGCCAUGUCCGCACCUAGGAUCUGAACCAGCAAAACGCCAGGCCGCUGAAGCAGAGCACCGAACUUAACCACUCGUCCAUGGGGCCAGCCGUUGGAGGAAUUUGUCAACAGUAACUUUGAAAGUCAGAAGACAGUGAAGCAAUGCAUUAGAAAAUCUGAGAGAAAGCUAUUUUCUAUCCUUGGUCAAACAAUUAAGUUUGAGGUAGAAUAAAGACAUUUCAAUCAUGCAAACUCCCGUUCUCCAGAAGCUGCUGAAGGAUAUGCUCCACCACAGUACAAGGUUAAAUCAAGAGAGAGGAAGACGUGACAAUCAGGAAAAAGAGUGUCUAGCACAGAAAAUGCUAGAGUGAUGGAUUUACCUAUAGAAAACCAGUCCAAAUUAGAGCAAAAGGACUCCAGGAUGGAGACCUCCAAAAAAUAAACAUGAAGUAAUAAAAUAAAAUAAACUGAUGCUUUUGACUAUGUGGAAAAUAGAAUUGAAACAGUUUUUUGGCAUCUGUUAUUAUAUCUGGAGAAAAUUAUAAUAGUUUUGUUUUAGGAACUUCAGGUACAACCACACAAGAAUGAGAGUCAGAAGCACAAGUCAAGCAGUCCUGGGAUUGUAUACCAUAUCGGGUUUCUGUCACUCGUUCUGGCCUUGGGUUAAUCUCAUUAAGCUUGAGUUUCUCAAAGGAUAGAAUGAAGCAUAAUUCACAAUAGCCAAGAUGUGGAAGCAACCCAAGUGCCAUUCUACAGGUGAAUGGAUAAAGAAGAUGGGGUGUGUAUAUAUAUAUAUAUAUAUAUAUACACAAUGGAAUACUACUCAGCCAUAAAGAAAGACAAAAUUGUCCCAUUUGCAACAACAUGGAUGGACCUUGAAGAAGGAAGAAUGCUAUGAUCUACUUCCCGAGAUGAUCUAUGCCUCUUGGAGAUGAGCUUUGAGUCUCCAGCUUUUGGCUGGCAUCCACUGACUUGCCCAGUGGCAUGUUGACCACAAGCACACAGCAAUGAGUAAUGAAAGGAGGCAGGAGAGAGACGAAGCUGUGCUGGGCCCUGGCCAGCACGUGUGCACACAGCUUUCCUUGCUGGCAUGUGGUGUGCAGCGGGCUGCCUUUGGUGUCUGGCUAAUCAUAGAGGAUGCCAGAAAAGUGUGAAAAGCCUUAUAAAUGUGUCCGCUGAACAUCGCCGACAAGCAACUGAACUCCAGCUCUCCCAUCUGUCUCUGAUUCAGAACUUAAGGCUCAGAAAGCGUGAACUGCUCUCUGCAGAUCACAAGGCUAGGAAGUGACUUAAGCAAGUGGGCUGUCUCCAGAUUUGUGUCUUCUCUAUCAUAAGGACCUAAGUCACCCAAAAGUGAUCAAUCAACUAAGACUUCACUCAAAGUGAUGAGACUGACGUCAAGGAUGGGAAGAGGAUGACAAGGUCAUGCAGCGGUUGGUGACAGAACCAAGAUGAGGGCUUUUGUCCUUGAAGCAGACUAACCACACCAGGUUCAGGAAUGUAGGCAUUAGAGAAAAUCACUGCCAAGCCUCUGCCUCUUUAUUCUUUCUAGAACUUUAGAAUUCUUGAUGCAAUUGCAAUUGAUUGACUCUUGCUAAGAAAGGAACAUUCAGGACAUGGUGUUGGAGGAAACAGUGGGAGAGUCACUAGAUCCGACUGAGGUCUUCACGUUCAUGGACCUAUUUUUGUGUGUGUGUUUCUAGUGAGCUAAGCAAUGGUUUUGGCAGGGAGGCAUAGACAGCCUACUGAAAUGGUAAUCCUUACACCUACAUCUGUAUGUGCUUGUAUGUCCAUUAUCUCAUUGAACCCCUAAACCAACUCUGUGUAGUACCGUUUUACAGCCAGUAAACCACAGAGUCAGGGCUCGAACCCAGCUUUCUGGUUUCAGGGACCUGUCCGUUGUACAAUUACCACAUUCUGGGGAAAGUUAGGAAAUUCCCUCUAGAGACUGUAAGCAGUUGGUGGACGAUGAUUUGGAAACGCAAGAGAUCCAGUUAAAAUCAUGCUUAGAUCAUAGUUUUAAUUUUAUCAUCUUGACCAUGGAAAUCCAAUGUCAUCCCUAGCCCUUUACUGCAUCCAUAGGAGAAAAGACCAAGAAAAAAGAAGUCCUAUCUGUGGGUGCUUUUAUUCAGAAAUCAUACUUUUCUUUUUUGUGACAUGACACAGUGGAAAAAGCAUAAUUUGGGGGUAAAAUCCUGCCUCCUCCGAUUAUUAGUUGUAUGAUACUGGCCAAGUUCUUCUAAUGUCUCUGAGCCUAGGUUUUCUCAUCUGUGAAAUGUGUCAUUGUGAGAAUGGUGGAGAUAACUUUAAUAUAUAGUUUGACCAAUGCUUGGGAUCUAGUGAGCAUUCAAUGUCUCUAAAUCAUUCCAGAAAUAGAGUGAAGAACAUGUUUAUUCUCUCUUUGCUUUUUCCCCAGAUAGUAUGCAUGAAAGCUUGCUUUCUUUCACUUUACUCCAUCUUCAACAUUCCCUGUCUCAAUAAGCAGCCUCACCGUCUAUCUAAAUGAAACCUAACUACCGAUAACCUCUGCUUGUUUUGCUCUGCCCCUGUCCCUCACCACUUAAUUGAAUCAGCGUUCAAGCAGGGUUGGUGCUACCUUUGAAACUGUCUCAAGUCUGAAGACUAAUUCCUCUACCUGCACCCCUUUCUAAUUCUGUCCCUCAUUAUCUCUCUCAUGGGCUGUGAAAGUAGCUAAAAAGCUGGUCUUGUCUGGGUCAG